rnacentral:lncRNA from 1 species
CACAUGGGUCAAUGUCAAGAGAAAACAGCCCAGCCACUGAGGCAGAAGAGGUGGAAACCCCUUGUACUAGUAGGGCUAUAGACAAUAUACGUAAUAUAUUUAAACAUACAUAUGCUUGAACUCAGUAAUUUGCAUAACCUAGCCAGAUUAAAAAAUCUUUGAUAUGCACGCAGAUUUUUAUAAAAGUAUAUUUGUCAUAAGAAGAAAAUCUGAAACACCCAGUAAGAGGGAAAUUUUUAUAUAAUUUAAAUACAUUCACACAUUGAAAUAAUGCAUUUUGAAGAUUAUGCUUAUAGAGAGUGAUAUUAAUAGCUGGAGGGAAUUAUGAUUAUAUAGUGUUAUGAGAAAUCAUGAUAUAAAACUGAUCAACAAUAUGAUUUCAAUUAAACAGACAUAUAUAGGUAGAGAUUUAUGAAUAAAAAUAAUGACUAGGAAAAGAUACUUGUCUCUAACGAGUGGUAUCUUAGUUCUCAUUAAUAUUUAGGCGAAAUUAUGAGGGUGCUUUAAAAAAAUCUUAAAAUGUCACUUCUUUGUGUUCUGGCAGAAUUAUAUAUUUUUUAUUUCUAUGAAACAUUUGAGAAAAUAACUUUUAAAGUCUUUGAAAAGUCUUGUUGCAGUAUGUCUUUUUUUCCAACUCAAGGUUUCCAGUAUGUUAGCUGACAGUCCCUUGCACAGAUCUAACCUAUUGUUGGAUGGCACAAUGGGGUUUUGGACCAGUAGUUUCCUCUCACUGGUUGUACAUCCCUCUGUUAUGGUGAGAAUCGUUCCAGAAUGCCUUACAUUUCAGUCAUUUCCAACCAGUCUGGAAUUGACUUGUAUGAUUCCUUAAUAUGUAAUACCUCUGCUGGCUUUCACUUUAAUUCCUUUCCCUGUCCUUUUAUUGUACUUGAGUAGAGAUAACAAACUAGGACAGCUCCCAAAUAGCUUCUUAAUUCAUUGCAGUCUUGUUUACUCUGCUUCCUUCAUCAAUGAUUUAUAUUUCCUCAAGAGGAUAGAACUGCUUAGGCUGCAAUGGGCCUGAUGAUAACUUCCUUUAGAAGACAUAUUCAUGUAAAAUAGUUAGUUAUGUCCCUGAAAAGUUUUUUUUUUUUUUCAAGUUUAAUCACACAGCGAUGCUCUUAUCUUAAAACUAGAUUCCCUUAUUUUGCUGAAUUGGACUCCUACUGGGAAAUACAGCUGGUAAAAUGGUAAAAUCACAUGAGUUUAAAUUUGUAGCCUAGAAGUUUUUCUCAAUUCCUCUUUUCUUUCUUUUUCUUUUCUUUUUUGCUUUCCAGGGCCGCACCUGGCGUAUGAAGAUUCCCAGGCUAGGCGUCCAAUCAGAGCUUCAGCUGCUGGCUUACACUAUAGCCACAGCAACAUCAGUUCCGAGCCAUGUCUGUGACCUACACCACAGCUCAUAGCAAUGCCGCAUCCUUUAACCCACUUAGUGAGGCCAGGGAUCGAAUCUGCAUCCUCAUGGAUGCUAGUCAGAUUCCUUUCUGCUGAGCCAUGAUGGGAACUCCUCAAUUCCUUCUUUUCUAGAUGAAGAGGAAAUCUCUUAAUUUUUCUAUUGUUAACAUAGAAGCAAAAUGCAUGACCUGUAAGAAGGAAACUCUAGUUAAACUACUUGAAACUGCAAACUAUAAUUUGAAACUUGGAAUUCCAAUUGUAAGGCUCUUUGGAUACAUAUUUUAAAUGACUUACACUACAUGGCUUUCCAUUGCCUCCUGUGAAAUUAGGGAUCCCUAACUUCAUAGCAUUCCUGAAAAAUUAAAUAAACUGUUUCAGGCAAUAUGUCUGACACGAUAUUAAGCUUUAACUAAAUGUGAGUUAUUUUCCUAAUAUAUAUUAGAAACUAUCAUGUAUGAUACUCUUGAGAAAAAAAUAUUCUGUGGUAUAAGAAUUCUUCAAGUUGUAAGCAUCAGACCAGGAACUUGGUAAGGCUGUAGGAACAUGCAGGAGAACUAAUGAAGGAUAAUAGAGUUAAGAGGAGUAAAUUUCAUGCAAGGUAACUUCUAAUCAAUAAUAAUAAUGAUGCCUAUUCAUUCCAUACUUUUCAAAGGCUGUGAGUAUGUGUUGAAAUUACUAUAUCAUUUCUGUGCUAUUAGAGUAUAAAAAUAAAUAAGAUAUAACUUUCACUGCCUCAGUGAAUCUUACAUUCUAGACAGAAUGGAGACAAGCAUAAAACAUAAGUAGACAAAAAAAAUGAAUUAAAAAUAAAUGGUUUAUCUUAGAGGUAAUGAAGAAAACAUGAGUUGAGAAACCCUUUUAUGUUGAAGAAAACAGGGAAAGCAAAUGGUCAGAGGUAAUUCUAUUUAAAUGUGUUAAAUCAUUAACCGUACAAUCAUGUUCUUAGCCCCAUUCCCUAGAUAAUAAUGAAAUAACCUAGUUCAUGUGCAUCUUUUUUUUGAUAGGCAAGAAAUAGAUUUAUUAAGAUAGGAUGCUUAUAAGAGAUGCAAGUGCACAGGAAAGGAGGCCCUGCCCAUGUGUAUCUUUAAUCUACAAAUCCAUAAGAGGGUGCUGAGAUUGUUGUGAGUUUCAGAUAUCAUGUUUUAUUGAUGAUGUAGCUAUUGAAUCUCAGAGAUAAAAUCAGAAAACUUGGAAGAUUGCUGGGACAGUUUUCUGACUAUGCUAAAAAUCCUUUAUGGGACUAAUUAACACAUUCAUUUGUAUUUUCCAUUCAUUUAUUUAGUAGACCUUCAGUAUGCAUACUUUGUUUUAUACACCAUGUGUGUUUUAAAGAAGUUUUUUUUAUUUUGUUUCAUUUUGUUUUAUUCUUUUUACAGCCACAUCUGCAGCAUAUGGAGCUCUCUGGGCUAUGGAUCUAACUGAGCUGCAGCUGCACGCUUACUACGCAGCCUCAGCAAUACCAGAUCUGAGCCACAUCUGCAACUUACAUGGCAGCUUAUGGCAACACCAGAUCCUUAACCCACUGAAGGAAGCCAGGAAUUGAACCUGGAUCCUCAAGGACACUAUGUCGGUUUCUUAACUCACUGGGCCACAAUGAACUCUGAGAAGUUUUAAAGAUGAACAUGAAAUAAUUAUUUGAAAGAUCUCAUGGUUUAUUAACAGGAAAAACAUAGCUUUGCAUAAUACAAAUAAAAUAAAAUGAAGAUAUAUCCAUCAUGAAAUAGGAGCCUGGUUGUAGUUCUGCAGGCAUUUAGUAGGAUGGGAUUUAACCCUGAAAUUUUAUCAUUGAGGAGGAAAUACUUUUCCUCUAUCAUCUGGUAUUUUUGAUUAGGGACCUGCAAAUAAACUGACAAAAGACAGCUUUUCCAAUUAUCCAGAGGAAAAAACAGGUUUAAUCAUGUACAUAUACAUUAGUGUUCUCAAAAAACCUGACUUAAGAAGGCAGCUAAAAUUUAAGGUUUAUAUGCCAUCUUAAAAAAAAAAAAUUGGAAUAUAGGUGACUUACAAAACUAUGUUAACUUCAGGUGUCAGCAAAGUGUAUGACCACAAUAAGGGGAUAGGGAGGGACAUGGCUGAACUUCUAGGGGAACAAAUGGUUUCUUAGAAGUGGGGAGAUAGGGCCCUUAUGGAAAAAGAAUCUGCUUUUUGGAAAGAUUAAUAGGACAUUAGGAUAGUGGAUGGGAGACAUAGUUUUGUGACAAUGUCUAUUUGGGUGUGGUGUUGACUUCUUUUCUCUAAAGUUAGCAUUGCUCCCUAGGGGAUUUAUGACAAGUGAGUUUUUUUGGGGAGGAUCUGCUUUUAGGCAAUUAAGGAAUUCCGGAACUCACGUGCAUAUACAUAUAUAUCACAAUAUAUAUAUUCUUAUAUAUAUUGUGCCACAGCAGUUUAUUCUAGACUCCUUCACUACUUUUAAGAAUAGAAUUUGCAGGUUAAAUUCAAAAGAGAAGGGGAAGAUUAUAAAGAGAUGAUGUAUAGUGCUAAAAUCAGUUUAAUUUUGGGAGUUCCCGUCGUGGCGCAGUGGUUAACGAAUCCGACUAGGAACCAUGAGGUUGCGGGUUCGGUCCCUGCGCUUGCUCAGUGGGUUAACGAUCCGGCGUUGCCGUGAGCUGUGGUGUAGGUUGCAGACGCGGCUCGGAUCCCGCGUUGCUGUGGCUCUGGCGUAGGCCGGUGGCUACAGCUCCGAUUCGACCCCUAGCCUGGGAACCUCCAUAUGCCGCGGGAGCGGCCCAAGAAAUAGCAACAACAACAACAACAACAACAACAACAACAAAAAAAAAGACAAAAAGAUAAAAUCAGUUUAAUUUUACUUGAUCAGAGAAAAGGGUUCCAUAUACUGUUAAAGAAAACCAGAGCUGAACAGGAGUUCAAAUGGGAAAAACAAAUUUUAUUUAGGAACUACUGCAAUAGAAGGAAGGACUCCUCAGUAUAGAAUUGGGCUCAAUUCCAAAUACAAGAAGGAUAAAUGGGGAUCUAUCCAACGAUGGAGGAGGGUCAGAAAAGAAAAAUUUCUAAGAGGGUAUACAAGGACCUGGCAAUCCUGGUUAAACUGACUUGACACAUUUCUUUCUAAAGGUAGGUCAAGGUGAUCAUGUACCAAGGGUCGGAGAUAAGGUAUUUCAUUUGAUACCAAGGAAAAUUAGAUACGAAUUGAUGGGGGGGGGUCUUGCUAACUGACUUAGUAGUAUUUUUGCUAAAAGUGAAUAAUGCAAAAACAUCUUGGCAUAAUUGAAAAGUGGGCUCAGAGGAGCCUGACUUAAGUUUGGUUAAGGAAAGUGUCUUUGUCAGUAAGAUCGUAGUGAGUUGGGGAGAAACUCAUAGGGAUAGAGUAGGAUAGACAAAGAGGUAGUUUUAGACAUCCUACUAAAGGAUUAGAGUUAUGAGAGGGAACUUUAGGAGACCACUGUCAGUUACUGAUUCCUCAGGAGAGCUACUGGAACAUUAUGAAAGGGAGCAGUAUUAAGCAGUGUUGCUUAACACUGAGGUAUAUGGAAUGAUUGGCCAAUGGGGACCUGCUGUAUAGCAUAGAUAACUCUACCCAAUAUUCUGUGAUCAUCUAUGUGGGAAGAGAAUAUAUACAAAUGUACAUUUGUACAUGUAUAACUGAAUCACUUGGUUGUACAGCAGAAAAUAUCACAACCUUAUAAAUGAACUAUACU